ACGUAGGGUGCAAGCGUUGUCCGGAAUUAUUGGGCGUAAAGAGCUCGUAGGCGGUUUGUCGCGUCUGCUGUGAAAACGCGAGGCUCAACCUCGCGCCUGCAGUGGGUACGGGCAGACUAGAGUGUGGUAGGGGAGAUUGGAAUUCCUGGUGUAGCGGUGGAAUGCGCAGAUAUCAGGAGGAACACCGAUGGCGAAGGCAGAUCUCUGGGCCAUUACUGACGCUGAGGAGCGAAAGCGUGGGGAGCGAACAGGAUUAGAUACCCUGGUAGUCCACGCCGUAAACGUUGGGAACUAGAUGUGGGGUCCAUUCCACGGAUUCCGUGUCGCAGCUAACGCAUUAAGUUCCCCGCCUGGGGAGUACGGCCGCAAGGCUA
rnacentral:rRNA from 1 species